rnacentral:misc_RNA from 1 species
GAUGAAGAACGUAGCGAAAUGCGAUAAGUAAUGUGAAUUGCAGAAUUCAGUGAAUCAUCGAAUCUUUGAACGCACAUUGCGCCCCUUGGUAUUCCGAGGGGCAUGCCUGUUCGAGCGUCAUUAUAACCCCUCAAGCUCAGCUUGGUGUUGGGGCCUGCUGCACUGGCAGCCCUUAAAAUCAGUGGCGGCGCCAUCUGGCUCUAAGCGUAGUAAUUCUUCUCGCUAUGGAGUCCUGGUGGAUGCUUGCCAUCAACCCCCAAUUUUUCUAUGGUUGACCUCGGAUCAGGUAGGGAUACCCGCUGAACUUAGGCAUAUCAAUAGCGGAGGA